rnacentral:rRNA from 1 species
AGGGGUCAAGCCCUCGGCAUACUGCUCAGUAACACGUGGACAACCUGCCCUAAGGUGAGGGAUAACUCCGGGAAACUGGAGAUAAUACCUCACAGUUUACCAUCGCUGGAAUGCCUGGUAAGCAAAAGGUCCGCCGCCUUAGGAUGGGUCUGCGGCCGAUUAGGUAGUUGUUGGGGUAACGGCCCAACAAGCCUGUAAUCGGUACGGGUUGUGGGAGCAAGAGCCCGGAGAUGGAUUCUGAGACACGAAUCCAGGCCCUACGGGGCGCAGCAGGCGCGAAAACUUUACAAUGCAGGCAACUGUGAUAAGGGAACCCCGAGUGCCCGUAUGGACGGGCUGUUCAGGUGCUUAAAAACCACCUGGAGAAAGGGCCGGGCAAGACCGGUGCCAGCCGCCGCGGUAAUACCGGCGGCUCGAGUGGUGGCCACUAUUACUGGGCUUAAAGCGUCCGUAGCUUGGUCGUUAAGCCUCUGGGGAAAUCUUCCGGCUCAACCGGAAGGCGUCUCAGGGGAACUGGCGACCUAGGGAUCGGGAGAGGUGAGAGGUACUCUGGGGGUAGGAGUGAAAUCCUGUAAUCCUCAGGGGACCACCUGUGGCGAAGGCGUCUCACCAGAACGACUCCGACAGUGAGGGACGAAAGCUGGGGGAGCAAACCGGAUUAGAUACCCGGGUAGUCCCAGCCGUAAACGAUGCGCGUUAGGUGUAUCGGUGACCACGAGUUACCGAGGUGCCGAAGGGAAACCGUGAAACGCGCCGCCUGGGAAGUACGGUCGCAAGGCUGAAACUUAA